GACUCUGUGCCUCCGACCGGCAGACAUUGUUUUCAUAGCUCUGGUUUACUACAAUCAGCUAACACAGGCACAGUUUCGUGGAGAUCCCUCUGUUGCAAUAAUUCGGACUUUCAAAACACGGUCACUGAAGAGAGUCAUCCACAAUCUGUUUGGCAAUAAAAAUAACAUUGACAGAAGAAAUCACCGUCGUAGUUCCCCUUCGGAAACCAUUUGUCUGCUUUUCAAUGACAAUGUGUGAAAAUUCCUUCUCCAGUCUGAAGAAAGUAUAGCAGUGAACACCGACUCAGCAUGUUACAUCAACGAAAAGCCAAGCUUGUCGAGCUGGCAUUUGAAAGAGACCUGACAAGUACAUUUCUCCAGGAAGGAGAAUGGAAUCAAACUUCACACGAGAUUCAACACCGCAUGGAUGAGGCUGCAACUCAUCUAAAUGGAUGAGGAAAAUCCAGGCACUCAGAGACGACUCCUGGCUAUCGUCCUAGUCAAGGAUUCUGUGAACUCUGCUUUCUGUUUCAGCUGUGGAGAGGUAACCUGAAGGUAAAGGAUCUUAUGUUUCGUAUUCUAAUGUUUACUAGAUAGAUUUGUGUGUGUGUGUGUGUGUGUGUGUGUGUGUGUAUGUGUGUGGUGAUCGUUCUCCCCCACUGCUUGGCACAUGGAUUAAUAGCAUCUGUUAGCAGCAGCUUGGCCAUCCAUCCUACUUUCUCUGGACUGGAUGUGUGUAGGGCAAUAUUUGGGUUCCUCCUUCAGGCCUAGUUGGCAGGACGUUUGUCCCUCUAUGACACUUACUUGGCUCUGAGAGAAAGAAACAGGCUUUGUUUUACAAGAAAAUGGAAAGAGAUGCACUCUGCAACUGUUCAUCUUGGCCUUGUAGCUUUGUUGGUGAGUUGGAAUAUAGGCCUAUAAUGUGAUUCAAAAUAUGGAAUUCCCCUACAGUGCUGGCAUGCAAAGUUUCACCUUUACAUUCAAAUGCCAACUGUUUAGUCUACAGGUGUUAUUUGGGUUGCCAUGGUAACACAGGGGCCUAGCCUGGAAAGUCGGAGUGGGGACACUGUCCAUCUUUCGCCCUGAGACACCAUCUCGCACAAGGCCAUGUAAAAUCUUGUCGAACCAUGUCAGUUUUCCCAAUUGUGUUUCAAUGGCUCUGUGGCUGCAGCCUUUUAGCUAGUAUUUGAAAUAAGCCUAGGUGCUUUCUUGUGAGUGGAGCCUAGGUGAUUUAUUCUCAGUAGAG
ensembl:lncRNA